rnacentral:rRNA from 1 species
GACGAACGCUGGCGGCGUGCCUAAUACAUGCAAGUAGAACGCUGAAGAGAGGAGCUUGCUCUUCUUGGAUGAGUUGCGAACGGGUGAGUAACGCGUAGGUAACCUGCCUUGUAGCGGGGGAUAACUAUUGGAAACGAUAGCUAAUACCGCAUAACAAUGGAUGACACAUGUCAUUUAUUUGAAAGGGGCAAUUGCUCCACUACAAGAUGGACCUGCGUUGUAUUAGCUAGUAGGUGAGGUAAUGGCUCACCUAGGCGACGAUACAUAGCCGACCUGAGAGGGUGAUCGGCCACACUGGGACUGAGACACGGCCCAGACUCCUACGGGAGGCAGCAGUAGGGAAUCUUCGGCAAUGGGGGCAACGCUGACCGAGCAACGCCGCGUGAGGGAAGAAGGGUUUCGGAUCGUAAAGCUCUGUUGUAAGUCAAGAACGGGUGUGAGAGUGGAAAGUUCACACUGUGACGGUAGCUUACCAGAAAGGGACGGCUAACUACGUG